rnacentral:misc_RNA from 1 species
UUUGCAGCGCUGCCACUUCAAAGUUACAUGUACACAGUGCUGCAGAAUCGCGACGGUGCCACUUUGUUAUUGUCAAGAUACUGAAAAAAACAAAAUCUAAAAUAUCUACGACACGGCUCUCACAUUACCUAUCAAUAUCAUAUUUUUCGUGAAUUUGCCCUGGUGUUUAAACGUUACCAAAAAGUUUUAUGUUGUUGAGAGUGCUCAAACCAGGUUGCAAAUUCGUCUCCGAAAUUGAAAGACAUAGAGAUCAGUGACCAGAAUAUAACAAAGAGUGAUCCUUGAGUGUUUUGAGUAGUGUUUAAUUUCAACGCAGACAAGCAUUUGUCGAUACAAAAAUUAACCUUGAAUUGAUGGCUGCUGUCGAGCUAAUGCCGAUUUGUGGUGCCGGUGGUCCGGGAAGAGAAUCGUCCUUUUGUCACUGUAGUGUUGAAACUAUCCAAGACUCAUGUCGAUGCGGCGAAGAAGCGGACUGUCACGAAUGGGCAUGGGAUGAUGCCUUUUGUACGCCAGAUACACACUUAGUUGGUAAUAACCGGGGAGUACUCUUUCACCCAGGCUAUAGCUCAGGCACUGCUGCAGUUCGUGGAGACACACCAUGCGAAGCUGGAAGAGACUAUUAUUGGGAAAUAAAAAUGCUUACACCUUUGUAUGGGACAGAUGUGAUGGUGGGUGUUGGAACCCCUAAUGCAGAGCUAUCCAAAUCGCGCUACCAGUUCUGCAGUCUUCUAGGAUGUGACCAGGAAUCUUGGGGUUACUCGUAUAAAGGGCAUAUACAACACAAUGGUGAGAAAAAGUCAUAUGGUCCUGGUUUUGGCCAGGGUAGUGUCAUAGGUGUUCGCUUAGAUAUGUGGAAUGGGACACUACAGUUCUUUUUAAACAGAAUCCCGCUAGGUAUUGCAUUCACCAAUUUGAAAGGCAAAGUUCUCUAUCCAAUGGUGUGUUCUACUGCAGCCCAUUCAUCGAUGCGAGUAAUUUACUCCUUCUCUUGCAAAUCAUCGCUGCAACUUUUGUGCAUGCAAGAACUGACUAACAACAAAGUACAAAUGGAACACUUAAUGCGUGUACCAGGAUUUAGGAACAGUUUACAGAGAGCUUUUUGGUGGCUUGCUCCAGAUCCUUAUAUUCAUAAUUGUAAGCUGGAAUUGAAAGAUGGUUCUGUGAUAUUUUACACUGUGGAAUGAUAUAACUCUUGGAGGGUAAUUGAAAGUAUCAACAAAUACUCUCCACUCACUCCAAUAUGCAGCAUCUGGAACCAUGAAUGUUAAAGACAGCACAGAAAGCCGUACAACACAGCAGGAAGACACUGAACAUGAUACAA